CUAAUAAAAUGUCAAAAAAAAAAAAAAAAAGGCUACCCAGGGCAAGGCCUGUCCCUUGCAGUCUGUGUAUGCUGACCCCUGUGAGUUCCCCAAAUGCAGGAAACUUGACUGCAUAAUUUGAGAUAGUGGGGGACUGCACACGUGCUUUCCCUGA
rnacentral:snRNA from 14 species